CAGGCUUAACACAUGCAAGUCGAGGGGCAGCGGGGGUAGCGAUACCCGCCGGCGACCGGCGCACGGGUGAGUAACGCGUAUGCAACUUGCCUAUCAGAGGGGGAUAACCCGGCGAAAGUCGGACUAAUACCGCAUGAAGCAGGGGCCCCGCAUGGGGAUAUUUGCUAAAGAUUCAUCGCUGAUAGAUAGGCAUGCGUUCCAUUAGGCAGUUGGCGGGGUAACGGCCCACCAAACCGACGAUGGAUAGGGGUUCUGAGAGGAAGGUCCCCCACAUUGGUACUGAGACACGGACCAAACUCCUACGGGAGGCAGCAGUGAGGAAUAUUGGUCAAUGGCCGAGAGGCUGAACCAGCCAAGUCGCGUGAGGGAUGAAGGUUCUAUGGAUCGUAAACCUCUUUUAUAAGGGAAUAAAGUGCGGGACGUGUCCCGUUUUGUAUGUACCUUAUGAAUAAGGAUCGGCUAACUCCGUGCCAGCAGCCGCGGUAAUACGGAGGAUCCGAGCGUUAUCCGGAUUUAUUGGGUUUAAAGGGUGCGUAGGCGGCCUUUUAAGUCAGCGGUGAAAGUCUGUGGCUCAACCAUAGAAUUGCCGUUGAAACUGGGGGGCUUGAGUAUGUUUGAGGCAGGCGGAAUGCGUGGUGUAGCGGUGAAAUGCAUAGAUAUCACGCAGAACCCCGAUUGCGAAGGCAGCCUGCCAAGCCAUUACUGACGCUGAUGCACGAAAGCGUGGGGAUCAAACAGGAUUAGAUACCCUGGUAGUCCACGCAGUAAACGAUGAUCACUAGCUGUUUGCGAUACACUGUAAGCGGCACAGCGAAAGCGUUAAGUGAUCCACCUGGGGAGUACGCCGGCAACGGUGAAACUCAAAGGAAUUGACGGGGGCCCGCACAAGCGGAGGAACAUGUGGUUUAAUUCGAUGAUACGCGAGGAACCUUACCCGGGUUUGAACGCAUUCGGACCGAGGUGGAAACACCUUUUCUAGCAAUAGCCGUUUGCGAGGUGCUGCAUGGUUGUCGUCAGCUCGUGCCGUGAGGUGUCGGCUUAAGUGCCAUAACGAGCGCAACCCUUGCCACUAGUUACUAACAGGUAAAGCUGAGGACUCUGGUGGGACUGCCAGCGUAAGCUGCGAGGAAGGCGGGGAUGACGUCAAAUCAGCACGGCCCUUACAUCCGGGGCGACACACGUGUUACAAUGGCGUGGACAAAGGGAGGCCACCUGGCGACAGGGAGCGAAUCCCCAAACCACGUCUCAGUUCGGAUCGGAGUCUGCAACCCGACUCCGUGAAGCUGGAUUCGCUAGUAAUCGCGCAUCAGCCAUGGCGCGGUGAAUACGUUCCCGGGCCUUGUACACACCGCCCGUCAAGCCAUGGGAGCCGGGGGUACCUGAAGUCCGUAACCGAAAGGAUCGGCCUAGGGUAAAACUGGUGACUGGGGCUAAGUC
rnacentral:rRNA from 1 species